ensembl:lncRNA
GUCACACAGUCAGAAGUCCAAAAUCAAGGUGUCCACUGGGUUGGUUCCUUCUGAGGGCCCUGCUGGAGAAUCUGAUUCGUGCUUCUCUCCUAGCUUCUGGUGGUUGCUUGCAAUCUUUGGAGUUCCUGGUUUGUAGCUGCAUCACUCCAAUAUCUACCUCCAUCUUCACAUGGCACUCUCUUUUGUGUGAGAAAAGAAUCAUUUCCAGAAUUCUAAAGGAGAGAAUGGGAUCACAUGAUCAUCCCUAGCCACAGGAAGGCUGGGUACAAAUCCGCCAUUGUCAGCCAUGAUGAUCCAAGGUCCAGAAUCAAUACAAUAUUGAAGAAUGAUAAAGAUCGAGCCUCUUCUACAGAAAUCAAGAAGUUCUUUGAAACUGGUAACAACAAGGAUACAACAUACCAGAAUCUCUGGGACACACCUAGGCCAGUGUUAAGAAGGAAACAUAUGGCACUAAAUGCCCACAUCAAAUAGUUAGAAAGAUUUCAAGUUAACCUAACAUCACAACUAAUAGAACUAGGGACCUAAGAGCAAACAAAUCAGAAAGCUAGCAGAAGACAAGGAGUAACCCAAAUCAGUGCUGAACUGAAAGAGAUUGAGGCACAAAACACCAUUCAAAAGAUGGAAGAAUCCGGCUGGGCGCGGUGGCCCACACCUGUAAUCCCAACACUUUGGGAGGCCGAGGCGGGUGGAUCACGAGGUCAGGAGUUCAAGACCAGCCUGGCCAAGAUGGAGAAACCCUGUCUCCACUAAAAAUACAAAAAAUUAGCCAGGUGUGGUGGCAGGCACCUGUAAUCACAGCUACUCGGGAGGCUGAGGCAGAGAAUUGCUUGAACCGGGGAGGCGGAGCUUGCAGUGAGCUGAGCUUGAGCUACUGCACUCCAGCCCAAGGCGACAGAGCAAGACUUCAUCUCAAUAGAUAGAUAGAUAGACAGAUAGAUAAAUAAAUAAAUAAAUAAAUAAAUAAAUAAAUAAAUAAAUAAAAUGGAUGAAUCCAGGAGCUGUGUGUUGAAAAAAUAAUUAAUAAAAUAAAUAGACCGCUAGCUAGACUAAUGAAGAAGAAAAGAGAGAAGAUUCAAAUAAACAAAAUCCGAAACAAGGGGGAUAUUACCACUGACCCAUAAAAGUAAAAAUUUAUUUUAUCAGUCCCUUAUUUCAUCAGAUACUACUGUGAACACCUUUAUGCACAUAAACUGGAAAAUCUAGAAGAAAUGGAUAAAUUCCUGACACAUACACCCUCCUAAGACUGAAAUAGGAAGAAAUUUAAUCCCUGAAUAGACCAAAAACGAGCUCUGAAAUUUAGUCAGUAAUAAAUCGCCUAGCAUCAAUAAUGACAAAAAGCUCAGGACCAGACAGAUUCACAGAUAAAUUCUACCAGAUGUUCAAAGAAGAGCUAGUACUAUUCCUGCUGACACUACUUCAAAAAAUUGAGGAGGAGGAACUCCUCCUUAACUUAUUCUAUGAGGCCAGUAUCAUCCUGAUACCAAAUCUGGAAGAGACACACACACAAAAGAAAAAUUCAGGCAAAUAUUCUUGAUGAACAUUGAUGCAAAAGUACAUAUACACGCUAGAAUACUAUGCCACAAACAAAGAACAAGAUCAUGUCCUUUGCAGGGACAUGGAUGGAGCUAGAGGCCAUUAUCCUUAGCAAACUAAUACAGGAACAGAAAAUCAAAUACCACACGUUCUCCCUUGUAAGCGGGAGCUAAAUGAUGAGAACCUAUGGACAUAUAAAAGAGAACAACACACACUGAGGCCUUUGGGAAGGGUGAGGGGUAGGAGGAAGGAGAGGAUCAUGGAGAAUAACUAAUUGAUACUAGGCUUAAUACCUGAAUCAUGAAAUAAUCUGUACAACAAAACCCAUGACACAAGUUUACCUAUAGAACAAACUUUCAUAUGUACCUCAGAACUUAAAAGGUAAACAUAAAUAAAUAAAAUAUUGCUAUUAAAAAGGAAAAAGAGGUUGAGACUAUUCUUCACACUAAAAGAACACAAUGACCUCCAGUCCUUACAGAUAUCUAAUUCAUUUAACCCGAUGACUGGUUUUACCUUUCUGUCAUUCAUUGAAUUCAUUAAUAUAUUGAUUAAGCAUAUAACCCUCUGUUCUCUAUAAAAUACAUAUUCAGUAUUAUUUUCUAGGCGAUAGUAAUUAUAGUAAAAGUUUGAUCGUUGUUAGUUUAUUAAUAAAACUGUAAGCAUAGUUUCUGAAACCAUUUUUAAGGUCCUCAUCCCUGUGUUGUCAUUUGUUAUUCUUCCUCUAUGGAAUUAUGGAAUAUUCAAGUCACCAUUUAGAUACACACCCCUCUCUAUCACUAUAUCCCUUCAAGACAGCCCAGUCGUACUCACUUUAUUUGAUCCCGAUAUCCUUCUAACGUGAAUCUUAAAAAAAUCCUAGGCCUGGCACAGUGGCUCAUGCCUGUAAUCCCAGUACUUUGGGAGACCGAGGCGGGUGGAUGACAAGGUCAGGAAUUUGAGAUCAGCCUGGUCAAUAUGGUGAAACCUCAUCUCUACUAAAAAUACAAAAAUUAGCCAGGUGUGGUGGUGGGUGGCUGUAGUCCCAUCUACUUGGGAGGCUGAGACAGGAGAAUCUCUUGAAUCCAGGAGGCGGAGGUUAGAGUGAGCGGAAAGACCACGCCACUGCACUCCAGCCUGUGCCACAGAGCAAGACUCCGUCUAGAAAAACGAAUCCUAUUGAGAACGAUGUGUGCUCCCAACAUAUAAAGUUCCCAAUAAAUCUUAAAUACUUUUAAAUUUUAGACAUGCUUUUCUUCAACCAUUUUUCUGGGUGAAACAUUUGAUUUAGCUUCAUGCUCUGUCCAAAGACAGAGGGAGGGGCUCCAUUUUUAUUUACCUGUUCAUUUGAUGUCUAAACAUUUUUUUAAAAAUUAGUUAUAUUGCAUGUAAUUUAACAAGUAAAAUGAUAAAUAAAUGGCAGGAAUUUUGUUUUGAAAAAUAAUUGCUUCAUCUGACUUGAAAUGUCCUUCAUGAGUCACUAAGGUAUUGAGGCAUUUUGUGGAAAUGUAAGUUAUUCUAUAUUUAAUAGGUUACAAUAUCAAAUGACAUCAACUGGAAUGUUCAGUUCUUUUGUUAAUAAUUUAUUGGUUUAAAUUUCUAGUAUCUUUUUUCCUAUUGCUAUCAGAACCCAAAAGAUAAAUGUUUUACUCAUAAGGGGAACUAUAUUUACUAGUCCUGCAUUUGUCAAUCAUAAUGGAUUCUCUCCACCUAGUUCUCAAGACCUGACUUUUUUUAUAUUCCUGGAAUUAAAGUCAUGGAGAUACUUGAUUCAUAACAAUUUACUGAAAAUGGCAUCCUGGAAUCUAUGCUGGGUACUACUGGGAUGCAAAGAUGGAUGAAAAACACUACCUGCUCCCAG